ensembl:snRNA Gm25482 predicted gene, 25482
UUGCUCACUUCAGCAGCAUGUAUAUUAAAAUUGGAACAAUACAGGAAGAUUAGCUUGACCCCUGUACAAGGAUGAUAAGCAGACUCAUGAAGCAUUCCAUAAUUUA